rnacentral:piRNA from 1 species
UACAAGCUUCCCUACCAAAUGUUAGCAUGA